GCAGCGCUAUAAACAAUAUCUCCACGAAACCCUUGCUUUCUACACUGGCUAAAAGAUGAAUAAGGCAUAAAGCCGAGCUGACGAAACGCCCAUCUUGCCAUCCCAAGUGACCAUCUCUCUCUCUGACAUUCGUGUGAAAAGCAAGCAGCUGCUCGUUCAUUUCGCCAUGGAAACGCUGGAAAUGUGACUGCUCAAUGACCCCCAUCUUUAACUCCUCCCACAUUCCAGCAUGACAGAAACCUUUGAGGAAUCGAGACUUCAGAAUAAAAGAGCAAUAGACACCCUAACUAAGACAGUGGACCAAGAAAGAAGAGUCAAGAGGACUGGAGAAAAGAGCUAGGGAGAUUCUUUUAUUCUCAGAAUAUGAGUGUUUUGCCUGCAUGGAUGAAGGCGUGUGCACCACAUGCAUGCCUAGUGCCGGCAGAGUCCAGAAGAGGACAUCAGGUUCCCGGAAACGCAGUUAUAAAUGAUUGUGAACUGUCAUUCGGGAUUCAAGAAAAACCUUUCCUGGCCUGGAGAGAUGCCUCAGCAGUUAAAAGAACUUAUUGAUCUUCCAGAUGAUCCAAGUUCAGUUCCCAGCACCCGUAACACAUGGAGGAGCAUGACCAAAUCGUGCCGUAAGAAGGACAAGUCCCUCACCUUGUACAGCCCGCCUGUGAUGAGAGCCAGCAGCAGCAGACCGCCCACAGAGCUGCCCACGAUGAGAGGGACCGGGUUGU